GGAAAAUUAUGAUAUGUCCUGGAAAUUUUUUGGUAUAUUUGCGAAAAUUACGUGACGUUAGGGAAAAUUUUCGUAUGUUAUAUGUUUGCAGACAAGUUUUUGGUAUGUCCGGAAAGAAUUUGUUGGAAUGUCCGGAAAAAUUUUUUUGGUGACACGCCAACACUUUUGGGAGGAAAUAUUAAUGUUCAGUUUGCCUGUUCGGGCAAAAUAUACUGCCCCCCAAACAAGACAAGACCCGUACCGCCCAUGAUUAGAGUUAACAAAAACAGUACAGGUAUAUAAUUAUAAGUGAUUACUUUGCCGUUGAGUUCCUUGCGUCUGUACCAAGAUUGUACAGUUGUAGAAACUUGAUGAAAGUGAAACUUGAUGAAAGUCACUAGUGUUUUCACCAAAUAUCUUAAUUACGCAUGCAAAAUUACUUGAAUAGAAUUCCUAAUUACGUUAUGCUUGGUUAAGAAUUCUAUUCAAAUCAGCAAACGAAAACAUUCUGUUACGUCUCGAUUCAUUUGAUACAUUGUUUUCUCGUGUUUGGAUAUCCCGGUGAAACACUAGCUCUCGUUUUUCAUAUAUUACAUCUUUUGGUAUAAGCCUGAACUAGCCUACCAAAAGAGGUAGAUAAAGCCCCGUUUACACUACGCUCAAUUUUUGGUACCAUACCACUCUUUUGGUUCUUGGACUACCUUUAAAUUUCUCCUGCGACAUUUUGAUUGGAUACUAAAUAUAAACUUUGUUGUGGGUGGAAAGCGAUCGGAUUAAGGUUUGUGUCAGGCUAUUAUUUGUAAAAUAGAACCUGAUACUUAGGUUAUGAUCGCCAUGCAUCGCGACGUUCAACAUAAGUCGUUGUAGGGUCGCUAUGUAGAUCGUUGUAGAUCGUUGUAAGUCGUUGUAGGGUCGCUAUGUAGAUCGUUGUAGGUCAAUUUUCACUUUUCUGUAAAAAAUAUCGCUUUUCAAAGUCCGUCAUAAACAGAAAAAUACAUGGGUGCUUGGAAAUACCAGAUUUAUUUCUCGUGUCAAACAUGAUAUCUCACUCGUUCGCUGCGCUCACUCGUGAGAUAUCAUGUUCAACACUCGAAAUAAAUCUGGUAUUUCCGCGCACCCAUGUAUUAUUCUCCAUAUUAAUGCCUAUAACAACAAUAGGGCCAUUUAUACGGGACAAAAUAAGUCGCGUCUUACAUAAGACGCGUCUUAUAUAAGCUGAGUUAUCGCAUAAAUGGUUCUCUACGGAUUUAUUCUUAUUUACUUGCUAUAGCUAUAAUGUUGUUUCGGUUGUUUUUGUUUGAAUAUGCAAGGCUAAUAAUUUUACGUUGUUUCAAGUCUCGGGCAUGUGUAGUUAGAAUUUUUGUCUAAAAUUUCUUAUUUAAGACGCGACUUAAAUAAGAACAGCUAAAAGUCCUGUUCUUAUGACAUGAUAAGAAGACGCGUCUUAUCCAAGACGCGUCUUACAUAAGAAUUUUGUACCUUUUAUACGACAAACUCGCGUCUUAUUUAAGUCACGUCUUAUGUAAGUCGCGUCUUAUUUUGUCCCGUAUAAAUGGCCCUAAUGUUUACAUACAGUCACAGAAUAGGAAGUUAUACCAGAAGCGUAACUCGAGCAAAUAUUUGUCCGCGUUUUUACAAGCGAUUCGUCAGGGGCUAGUACAACCGGCACUUUGUACCUACCAAAUCCUGAUAAAAACUUCCGGCUGUACUAGCCAGCAUGGCGUGGCCUGACGUGAGCGAGUUAAAAUUUUCGUGGACGUCAAACAAUAAGGGAAACGACUAGAGUUACGCUUCUGGUAUAACUUCCUAUUCUGUGAUACAGUCAAACAUCACCCAAAAAAGCCAUAGUUGUUUGAAACGCCUGGCAGCAUUCAAUAAUCUAAUGGACUUUUAAUGACGAAUCAAUGUAAACUCCACAUAGCUUGUUUGAUCUAUUGCAGCAAAUAUAUUCAAAACAUUUUUAUUUGCAAUUGUCUGACAUGAUUUUGUGAAAAUCUACGUAAAAAUGGAAGAAAUUCUUAAAGGAAAUUUGAAGGAAAUUUCAAUAUUUUUUAAUGAAAUUUUAGUCCAAAUCAGGAAAAAAUAAGGAUUUUGCAAUUUUUGAAAGUCGAAGCACUGCUCUGAGCCUGUCCUCAACGGGCAAGAGACGUAUCAAGGCUUCUAAUCUGUGGCUGUGGUUAUGUUUCGACGAAAUACACGCUUGUUUGCUCACAAAACGUUUUGUAAACACUUUAAUAUUUUAGCCAGAAUUUAUAGUUGGUCAAUACUUACAAAAGAGAAAGUAGCCGUCGCAAAUGGAAGAGUAGAGAGUUUGAGCAAGACAACGAAGUUCAACGAAGACGAAGGCGUACUCAGUGAACUCUAAUAAUAACUGGAAGGCUAAGUCAGGGGGGGGGGGAAGUUGAAGCCGUGCUUGAAGCUUUUUUUGUAGGUAGACCCAGUCCUUUUUAAUUUUUUUUUCAAAAUAUGCACAUUUUUUGAUCAGAAAAAUCUUGCCCCAAAAUAUUAGUUAUACUACCAAAUUUAAUUUAUAUCAGUAGUAUGAUAAAUGAAUUUAAUAUUCGCAAAGCAAACAAAUCACGAAUUAGCAAAAAAAAUGCGAAAAACACGACCAUAAGCAUGAACGGUCUGAAAAACCGCGCGUUUUAGGCUGCUUUUUCUGAGUUUUUGGAAGUUUAAGAUAAAACUAAGACGUCAUACCUCAGGAAUUUUUUAUACCCAUGC
rnacentral:lncRNA from 1 species